UACGGGGGGGGCAAGCGUUGUUCGGAAUUACUGGGCGUAAAGGGCUUGUAGGCGGCCAACUAAGUCAGACGUGAAAUCCCUCGGCUUAACCGGGGAACUGCGUCUGAUACUGGAUGGCUAGAGAUUGGGAGAGGGAUGCGGAAUUCCAGGUGUAGCGGUGAAAUGCGUAGAUAUCUGGAGGAACACCGGUGGCGAAGGCGGCAUCCUGGACCAACACUGACGCUGAGGAGCGAAAGCGUGGGGAGCGAACGGG
rnacentral:rRNA from 1 species